rnacentral:rRNA from 1 species
UACAGAGGGUGCAAGCGUUGUUCGGAAUUAUUGGGCGUAAAGCGCGUGUAGGCGGGAUGGCAAGUCGGGUGUGAAAGCCCUCAGCUCAACUGAGGAAGUGCGCCCGAAACUACCGUGCUUGAGUAUCGGAGAGGGUGGCGGAAUUCCCGGUGUAGAGGUGAAAUUCGUAGAUAUCGGGAGGAACACCAGUGGCGAAGGCGGCCACCGGGACGAACACUGACGCUGAGACGCGAAAGCGUGGGGAGCAAACAGG